AGAGUUUGAUCCUGGCUCAGGACGAACGCUGGCGGCGUGCUUAACACAUGCAAGUGGAGCGACGAACCAGGCUUCGGCCUGGGGCAGAGCCGCGAACGGGUGAGUAACACGUGGGUAACCUGCCCCGAUGAUCGGGACAACCCGGGGAAACCCGGGCCAAUACCGAAUGUGCCCCUCGUCCUCAAGGACGGCGGACAAAGGAAGCCUCGGCCUCCGCAUCGGGAUGGGCCCGCGGCCCAUUAGCUUGUUGGUGUGGUAACGGCUCACCAAGGCAACGAUGGGUAGCUGGUCUGAGAGGACGAUCAGCCACACUGGGACCGAGACACGGCCCAGACUCCUACGGGAGGCAGCAGUGGGGAAUCUUGCGCAAUGCGCGAAAGCGUGACGCAGCAACGCCGCGUGGGGGAAGACGGCCUUCGGGUUGUAAACCCCCUUUCAGGAGGGACGAAGGUCGGGGCGGUGAAUANCCCGUUCCCCGCUGACGGUACCUCCACCAAGAAGCCCCGGGCUAACUACGUGCCAGCAGCCCGCGGUAAUACGUAAGGGGGCUAACGUNGUNCGGAAUCAUUGGGGCGUUAAAGAGCGUGUUANGGCGGUUCGGGGUAAGGUCGGUUUGUUGGAAACUUUAAGGGGGCUUCAACCAAUUUGGAAAUUUCCCCGGCCGGGAAUUCUUGGCCCGGGGCCUUUGAAAUUUCGGGGAACAAAAGGGCNAAUUGGGAAAUUUCCCCCGGNUGUAGUUAUANUUCCCAAUUUUGGGAGAA
rnacentral:rRNA from 1 species